AUCAAAUUUUUCUUAACUUACACAUGCAAGUUUCCGCAUACCCGUGAAAACGCCCUCUUAUCCCACCAGGAUAAAGGAGCUGAUAUCAGGCUCUAUAAUUCGCCCAAUACAUCUAGUUUUACCACUCCCCCAAGGGUCUUCAGCAGUGAUCAACAUUAAAAAUUAACGUCAGUUUGAUUUAGUUAANAGAAAAGCAGAGCCGGCCAAUCUGGUGCCAGCCGCCGCGGUUACACCACNGUGGCUCAAAUUGAUUUUACUNCGGCGUAAAGCGUGAUUAAAGUAANACAUUUCUACUUUUAGGGCUAAGCUUUAACUAAGCUGUCACACGCUUGUUUAUUGAAAAUUCAUACNUCGUAAGAUACCCUAUAUCACCAACUUGAACUCACGACAACUAAGGCACAAACUGGGAUUAGAUACCCCACUAUGCUUAGUCUUAAACUUUAACUUACACCANNNAUCCNCGCCAGGGAACUACGAGCAAAGCUUAAAACCCAAGGGACUUGACGGUGCCCCACAUCCCCCUAGAGGAGCCUGUCCUAUAAUCGAUAAUCCCCGUUUAACCUCACCAUUUUUAGUCUUUCAGCCUGUAUACUUCCGUCGUCAGCUUACCGCAUGAGCGANNNNAAGUAAGCUUAAUGAACANCCACCAAAACGUCAGGUCAAGGUGCAGCUAAUAAAAUGGGAAGAGAUGGGCUACAUUUUCUAUUCUAGAAAACACGAAAAAUUACAUGAAACUGUAAUUAGAAGGCGGAUUUAGUAGUAAAAAGAAAAUAUCAUAUUCUUUUUAACGCGNCACUGGGGCGUGUACACACCGCCCGUCACCCUCCUCGACUAACCUCAAUAGUACAUAACACAUAAANUUAAAACAAGAGGAGGCAAGUNNNNNNNNNNNNNNNNNNNCGGAAGGCGNNCUUGGAAU
rnacentral:ncRNA from 1 species